GACGAACGCUGGCGGCGUGCUUAACACAUGCAAGUCGAACGGAAAGGCCCUGCUUUUGUGGGGUGCUCGCGUGGCGAACGGGUGAGUAACACGUGAGUCACCUUCCCUUUACUUUGGGAUAACUUCAGGAAACUGGGGCUAAUACCUGAUAGGAGCUCCUGCUGCAUGGUGGGGGUUGGAACGUUUCGGCGGUUGGGGAUGGACUCGCGGCUUAUCAGCUUGUUGGUGGGGUAGUGGCUUACCAAGGCUUUGACGGGUAGCCGGCCUGAGAGGGUGACCGGCCACAUUGGGACUGAGAUACGGCACAGACUCCUACGGGAGGCAGCAGUGGGGAAUAUUGCACAAUGGGCGGAAGCCUGAUGCAGCAACGCCGCGUGCGGGAUGAAGGCCUUCGGGGUGUAAACCGCUUUCGCCUGUGACGAAGCGUGAGUGACGGUAAUGGGUAAAGAAGCACCGGCUAACUACGUG
rnacentral:rRNA from 1 species